rnacentral:rRNA from 1 species
GAUGAACGCUGGCGGCGUGCUUAACACAUGCAAGUCGAACGAGAAGUGAAGACGGAAACCUUCGGGCGGAAGGCUUUAUUUCGAGUGGCGGACGGGUGAGUAACGCGUGGGUAACCUGCCUCAUACAGGGGGAUAACAGUUGGAAACGACUGUUAAUACCGCAUAAGACCACAGCACCGCAUGGUGCGGGGGUAAAAACUCCGGUGGUAUGAGAUGGACCCGCGUUCGAUUAGCCAGUUGGCGGGGUAACGGCCCACCAAAGCGACGAUCGAUAGCCGAUCUGAGAGGAUGACCGGCCACAGUGGGACUGAGACACGGCCCAAACUCCUACGGGAGGCAGCAGUGGGGAAUAUUGCACAAUGGGGGAAACCCUGAUGCAGCGACGCCGCGUGAGUGAAGAAGUAUUUCGGUAUGUAAAGCUUUAUCAGCAGGGAAGAAAAUGACGGUACCUGAGUAAGAAGCCCCGGCUAACUACGUG